rnacentral:lncRNA from 1 species
AAAUGAUCCUCCUACCUCAGCCUAGUGGGUAGCUGGGACUGCAGGAGGAAGCUGGUGGAAGAUAAUUGGAUCAUGGGGGCAGUUUCUCCCAUACUAUUCGCGUGGCUGUAAGGCUCAAGAGAUCUGAUGAUUUUAUAAGGGGAAAUCCCUUGCAUUUGAUCCUCAUUCUGUCUUGCCCGAUGCUGUGUAAGAAGCGCCUUUCACCUUUUGCCAUGAUUUUGAGGCCUCCCCAGCCAUGUGGAACUGCACCCGACUACCUUACUUCACUUCAUUACAUCCUUACAGCAACCUGGUGCUUAAAGUGCUAUCAUCACAAGAAUGAGGAAACAGUUGAGAAAAGCCAGUUGUGA